UCCCUGGUGGUCCAGUGGCUAUGACUCCACACUCUCAAUGUAGAGGGCCCGGGUUCGAUCCCUGGUCAGGGAA